rnacentral:SRP_RNA from 1 species
GGAGGCUAGCUGCGGACGGACAGCUCGUGAACCCGGUCAGGUCCGGAAGGAAGCAGCCGUAGGGAGUUUUGUCUGGGUCGCGUGUCUGGCCUCCCAC